rnacentral:misc_RNA from 1 species
GAAAUGCGAUAAUUAAUGUGAAUUGCAGAAUUCAGUGAAUCAUCGAGUCUUUGAACGCACAUUGCACCCCCUGGUAUUCCGGGGGGUAUGCCUGUCCGAGCGUCAUUGCUGCCCUCAAGCCCGGCUUGUGUGUUGGGCCCUCGUCCCCCCCGGGGGACGGGCCCGAAAGGCAGCGGCGGCACCGCGUCCGGUCCUCGAGCGUAUGGGGCUUUGUCACACCGCUCUCGUAGGCCCGGCCGGCGCUGGCCGACGCUGAAAAGCAACCAUUAUUUCUCCAGGUUGACCUCGGAUCAGGUAGGGAUACCCGCUGAACUUAA